CCAAUAGCGUAUAUUAAAGUUGUUGCAGUUAAAAAGCUCGUAGUUGAAUUUCAGGCCUGGCUGGACGGUCCGCCCUUCGGGUGAGUACUGUCUGUGGUCGGGUCCUACCUUCUGGCGAAGCGUUAUGGCCUUAACCGGCCGUGGCGGGGAACCAGGACUUUUACUGUGAAAAAAUUAGAGUGUUCAAAGCAGGCAAUCGCUUGGAUACAU
rnacentral:rRNA from 1 species